rnacentral:lncRNA from 1 species
ACGAAUUCUCCGUACAAUGGAUCUAAUGUGAAUACAAACACUCCUUUGCCUAUGGUAAGAACAAAAAUUACUGAACUAGAAUACAUGCAGUAGCCAGCUGCUAGAAGGUUGCUUCCUGGUUGACACACAUUCACAAUGCACCUUUGUUCUUCUGUGCCAAGCUGCAAUUAACAUAUACAUAUGCACUGUGUUAAGCAAAUUUUUUUAAAAACCACGACAGAGAUCGAACCAGUGAGACUUUCGAAUCAUGAUUCAAUUGGUUCGAGUUCGACCAUGAAGAAACAUUCAAUUCCAAAGUAUCACUUACUGUGUUGUCAUCAGAGUCAUCACCAAAAUCAGGAAGACACUCGUCAUUGGGGCUGUAAAUCCCGAAAAUGGAACCAGUUGAGACUGCAGCAUCAAGAUUGGAUGAACCAUCAAGUGGAUCAAAUACAACAAUGUAGUUUCCUGAAUAACUCUCUUCUACUGCCACUGGCACAUCCUCUUCCUCUGACGCUAUUAUCCCUGUCCUCCCACUUGACCUCAAGCAAUUUGAGAAUACCUAAAUCAAAAUACCGGAAAAAAAUUACAUUGCCUAAUAAUAUUAGUAGCGGAUUCCCUGAGAAAAGUAAUACAAAAACCGAACCAAACAAAACAAAACCAAAUCAUCCCGUUACACUGCUAAGGAUAUUGCGACUCAAACUGAUUUAAAACAGGUAUAAUUAUUCAAAAAAACGAAGGAAAUAUGUAAUUCUGAUUAUUACUAACCUCAUUUGAGAUAACAUCAAGUUUUUUCUGGUCUUCCCCUUGAAUAUUUACAGCACCUUGAGUACCAGUGAGGUUAGAAAUAUUGGCUCUUUGAACCAAAGAAGCAAUUUGUUUACAUGCCAUAGAAAUACUAGAAAGUACAAUAGUAAGUUCUGCAUCAAUAAUCCCUUUUUGUUCUUG